rnacentral:rRNA from 1 species
GUGGGGAAUCUUGCGCAAUGGGCGAAAGCCUGACGCAGCCAUGCCGCGUGAAUGAUGAAGGUCUUAGGAUUGUAAAAUUCUUUCACCGGGGACGAUAAUGACGGUACCCGGAGAAGAAGCUCCGGCUAACUUCGUGCCAGCAGCCGCGGUAAUACGAAGGGGGCUAGCGUUGCUCGGAAUUACUGGGCGUAAAGGGCGCGUAGGCGGACAGCUUAGUCAGAGGUGAAAGCCCAGGGCUCAACCUUGGAAUUGCCUUUGAUACUGGCUGUCUUGAGUUUGGGAGAGGUGAGUGGAACUCCGAGUGUAGAGGUGAAAUUCGUAGAUAUUCGGAAGAACACCAGUGGCGAAGGCGACUCACUGGACCAAUACUGACGCUGAGGCGCGAAAGCGUGGGGAGCAAACAGGAUUAGAUACCCCAGUAGUCC